rnacentral:pre_miRNA from 15 species
CACUUUGCCGGCUCAGGUACUUAGUGACUCUCAAUGCUUUCGACAUCUUGAGAGUCUCUCUGUGCCUGCACUGGCGGUGGUGC